UACGUAGGGUCCGAGCGUUGUCCGGAAUUAUUGGGCGUAAAGGGCGCGUAGGCGGCUUCAUAAGUCUUGGGUGAAAGCCCUCGGCUCAACCGAGGAAUUGCCUUGGAUACUGUGAAGCUCGAGGCUGGAAGAGGGCAGUGGAAUUCCCGGUGUAGCGGUGAAAUGCGUAGAUAUCAGGAGGAACACCAAUGGCGAAGGCAGCUCGCUGGGACGGUACUGACGCUGAGACGCGAAAGCGUGGGGAGCAAACAGG
rnacentral:rRNA from 1 species